rnacentral:misc_RNA from 1 species
AAGUCGUAACAAGGUUUUCGUAGGUGAACCUGCGGAAGGAUCAUUAGUGAAUAUUGGAUUCCUCUGCAAAGAGAAGGUCCAUUUCCACUUUACACACACUUGUGCAUUUGUAUUUUUUACAAUUAAUUUUGUAAACCCUUAUGUUAGAAGUUCAUAAAGUUGUUGAUGAAACAAUUUGAUAAAAAUGAAAGUAAAA